rnacentral:rRNA from 1 species
AUUGAACGCUGGCGGCAGGCCUAACACAUGCAAGUCGAGCGAGCGGCGGACGGGUGAGUAAUGUCUGGGAAACUCCCUGAUGGAGGGGGGUAACUACUGGAAACGGUAUCUAAUACCGCAUACCAUCAGAUGUGCCCAGAUGGGAUUAGCUAGUAGGUGGGGUAAUGGCUCACCUAGGCGACGCUCCCUAGCUGGUCUGAGAGGAUGACCAGCCACACUGGAACUGAGACACGGUCCAGACUCCUACGGGAGGCAGCAGUGGGGAAUAUUGCACAAUGGGCGCAAGCCUGAUGCAGCCAUGCCGCGUGUGUGAAGAAGGCCUUCGGGUUGUAAAGCACUUUCAGCGGGGAGGCGUUACCCGCAGAAGAAGCACCGGCUAACUCCGUGCCAGCAGCCGCGGUAAUUC